rnacentral:rRNA from 1 species
GACGAACGCUGGCGGCGUGCUUAACACAUGCAAGUCGAACGAAGUGGCGAACGGGUGAGUAACGCGUAAUCAACCUGCCCUUCAGAGGGGGACAACAGUUGGAAACGACUGCUCAUACCGCAUACUGAAGGAGGGGAUUGCGUGUGAUUUGCUAGUUGGGGGGGUAACGGCCAACCAAGGCGAUGAGAAUUAGCCGGUCGGAGAGGAGGAACGGCCACAGUUGGACUGAGACAAGGACCAGACGCCUACGGGAGGCAGCAGUGGGGAAUCUUCCGCAAUGGACGAAAGUCUGACGGAGCAACGCCGCGUGAGUGAUGACGGCGGUUGGGUUGGAAAGCGCUGUUAAUCGGGACGCGGUACCGGAAUAGAAAGCCACGGCUAACUACGUGCCAGCAGCCGCGGUAAUUC